AGAGGCUUAUGCAGAAAUUUCCUGCCUUUAUGAAACUCCACAAUAUUCUGCUCCCCAAAAGUUAAAGAAUCAGUGCUUUUUUCUGCCAAGAAAGUAAGAACUUGUAGUUUGUGUCUCCACAGCUUCUGAUUAAGGCGAGGAUGCUGGUCAGCAAGGAAGCACCUUGGAGGUGCCAAGAACUCUUCGUAGAUGGUCCCUUUGUGGAGCAGUGAUGGAUUCGAGAAGGCUGUGAGAACAACACCACAGACUCAGGGGCUGAUGAACAAGAUGGCACCUGCCGUCUGCCAGACCCUGUGCUGGAUACAGUAGUGAGCAGGCAGCAGUCAGAGCCCAUCCUCACGGAGCCAAGUGGGGAAGCCACGUGAGUCAGGAUGAUCCGAGAAGGCUUGUCUCAGGAGUUAACUGGAUCAAAGGACUUUCUGGGGCCACAGGGUUAUUAUCAAGCAUCCAGGAAAUCCUCUGCUGAGCCAGCCCUGAAGGUAGUCCGGACAAUGUGUACCUACUAGGCCCUGGUAAAUAUUUAUUAAAUGAAUGAAUGAAUGAGCCACCUCAUAUAUUUCAAAUUAUGUAAAUACCAUUGAAUUUAUAUUAACUAUUGCUGUAUAAUAAACUACUCCUAAACGUAAUGGCUUAAAACA
rnacentral:lncRNA from 1 species